rnacentral:rRNA from 1 species
ACCUGGUUGAUCUGCCAGUA